ensembl:lncRNA
GUGAAGUCUGAAGGGAUAGUGAAGCACGUGCUCGGGCUUGGAGCCUCACCUGUGCACAGUCUGCUUCUCGAUGCCUCCCUGCCUCCCUGUGAUAGGGUGGCAUGUCUGUCUGGUGGCUGGAGGUAGAAUUCCAGAACUGGAGCCAUCAUGGGGUAGCCCAGCCCACCCCAUCCGAGUGCCUAUGAGGGUCUGUGCUCAUCCUACAAAUAACCCUGUGCCCGAGGAAGAAGCAGAACAUUAUACAGAAAGUAAGAGUGGCUCAGGGGUUAAGGAAUCUACCUGCAGUGCAGGAGACCCGGGUUUACUCCCUGGCUCAGGAAGAUCCCCUGGGGAAGGAAAUGGCAACCCACUCCAGUAUUCUUGCCUGGAGAAUUCCAUGGACAGAGG